rnacentral:rRNA from 1 species
GAUGAACGCUGGCGGCGUGCCUAAUACAUGCAAGUCGAGCGAACAGACGAGGAGCUUGCUCCUCUGACGUUAGCGGCGGACGGGUGAGUAACACGUGGAUAACCUACCUAUAAGACUGGGAUAACUUCGGGAAACCGGAGCUAAUACCGGAUAAUAUAUUGAACCGCAUGGUUCAAUAGUGAAAGACGGUUUUGCUGUCACUUAUAGAUGGAUCCGCGCCGCAUUAGCUAGUUGGUAAGGUAACGGCUUACCAAGGCAACGAUGCGUAGCCGACCUGAGAGGGGGAUCGGCCAAACUGGAACUGAGACACGGUCCAGACUCCUACGGGAGGCAGCAGUAGGGAAUCUGCAGCAAUGGGCGAAAGCCUGACGGAGCAACGCCGCGUGAGUGAUGAAGGUCUUCGGAUCGUAAAACUCUGUUAUUAGGGAAGAACAAAUGUGUAAGUAACUAUGCACGUCUUGACGGUACCUAAUAAGAAAGCCACGGCUAACUACGU